AUGUUCCGGACAAGAUACCGGGACGUCGAGCGGACAAGCCGGUGGUGAUUCUCGUUUGAAGGGCGUGCGCUAAGGACAAGAUACCGGGACGUCGAGCGGACAAGCCGGUGGUGAUUCUCGUUUGAAGGGCGUGCGCUAAGGUAUGUAACAUGUCUCGUUACAUUAUGUAAAUUUUAGAUCGUGGUAGCGGAUUAUAAAAGUUCUAGUUAAAUUGGAUUGGAGCGAAGGCGUUGUCGUAUUUGAAUACUAAUAUGAAUAACGAAUCUAGCUCGUUGGUAGUUGCCAUGAAGGAAGGAAAUUCCGUAGGUAAGCCAAACGGGUCAAAUAAUCAAGUAAGCAUGUUCUAUAUUCCGAACAUGAUGAAUUGAUGUAUGUAGUGGCUGUAGUAUGAUGUACUAGAAAUAUUAGACCCUUACUACGUUGAUAAUGCAGAAUGUUGAAAACCCGAAAGUUGGAAUUUUGGUUGAAAGGCUCAAACCAAACAAAAGCAUGAAUUCCCAGGUGCUACCGUAAAUUACGGUGACACCGUAAUUUACGGUAGAGGGUUUUGAUUUACGGUGGUUCUCUCCUGUGUUACGGUGUAACCAGAAAUUUCCAGCACUCACCGUAAUUUACGGUGGUACCGUAAAUUACGGUGGAGCCUGGAACACUUUUAUUUUCUUAUCCUUUUAAUGGGGGGUGUUAAGUCUUAAAACCUUAUCAUUCUUAAACCUCAAGAACUAAUGAUCUAAUUGAUGAUUCUCAGGUAAUUAGAAGUCACGGAUGGCGAUCAAGCGACAUGAUGAAUGAACCGAACACUCCACUUCGAAGCUUCCGCUAUGUUAAACUCGUUAAACAGUGUUUCGUUUGUUGUAGUCAAAGUCUUAAACUACAAUAUUACGUUCUUCUUUUGUUCUUAGUAGGCUAACUAGUAAAAGUUUUGAAACUUAUGUAAUUCCCAAUGGCUUUUGGUAUAAAAUAGUUAUUAUAUCCUAGU
rnacentral:lncRNA from 1 species